rnacentral:rRNA from 1 species
GUGCCAGCAGCCGCGGUAAUACGGAGGGUGCAAGCGUUAAUCGGAAUUACUGGGCGUAAAGCGCACGCAGGCGGUUUGUUAAGUCAGAUGUGAAAUCCCCGGGCUCAACCUGGGAACUGCAUCUGAUACUGGCAAGCUUGAGUCUCGUAGAGGGGGGUAGAAUUCCAGGUGUAGCGGUGAAAUGCGUAGAGAUCUGGAGGAAUACCGGUGGCGAAGGCGGCCCCCUGGACCGAAGACUGACGCUCAGGUGCGAAAGCGUGGGGAGCAAACAGGAUUAGAUACCCCUGGUAGUCC